GCUUGCGGGGGGAUUAGUGGCGAACGGGUGAGUAACACGUGAGUAACCUGCCCUUAACUCUGGGAUAAGCCUUGGAAACGAGGUCUAAUACUGGAUAUUGACUUUACCUCGCAUGGGGUUUUGUUGAAAGAUUUAUUGGUUUUGGAUGGACUCGCGGCCUAUCAGCUUGUUGGUGAGGUAAUGGCUCACCAAGGCGACGACGGGUAGCCGGCCUGAGAGGGUGACCGGCCACACUGGGACUGAGACACGGCCCAGACUCCUACGGGAGGCAGCAGUGGGGAAUAUUGCACAAUGGGCGAAAGCCUGAUGCAGCGACGCCGCGUGAGGGAUGACGGCCUUCGGGUUGUAAACCUCUUUCAGUAGGGAACAAGGCCAGCAUUUUUGUUGGUUGAGGGUACUUGCAGAAGAAGCGCCGGCUAACUACGUGCCAGCAGCCGCGGUGAUACGUAGGGCGCAAGCGUUAUCCGGAAUUAUUGGGCGUAAAGAGCUCGUAGGCGGUUUGUCGCGUCUGCCGUGAAAGUCCGGGGCUCAACCCCGGAUCUGCGGUGGGUACGGGCAGACUAGAGUGAUGUAGGGGAGACUGGAAUUCCUGGUGUAGCGGUGAAAUGCGCAGAUAUCAGGAGGAACACCGAUGGCGAAGGCAGGUCUCUGGGCAUUAACUGACGCUGAGGAGCGAAAGCAUGGGGAGCGAACAGGAUUAGAUACCCUGGUAGUCCAUGCCGUAAACGUUGGGCACUAGGUGUGGGGGACAUUCCACGUUUUCCGCGCCGUAGCUAACGCAUUAAGUGCCCCGCCUGGGGAGUACGGCCGCAAGGCUAAAACUCAAAGGAAUUGACGGGGGCCCGCACAAGCGGCGGAGCAUGCGGAUUAAUUCGAUGCAACGCGAAGAACCUUACCAAGGCUUGACAUGAACUGGAAAUACCUGGAAACAGGUGCCCCGCUUGCGGUCGGUUUACAGGUGGUGCAUGGUUGUCGUCAGCUCGUGUCGUGAGAUGUUGGGUUAAGUCCCGCAACGAGCGCAACCCUCGUUCUAUGUUGCCAGCACGUUAUGGUGGGGACUCAUAGGAGACUGCCGGGGUCAACUCGGAGGAAGGUGAGGACGACGUCAAAUCAUCAUGCCCCUUAUGUCUUGGGCUUCACGCAUGCUACAAUGGCCGGUACAAUGGGUUGCGAUACUGUGAGGUGGAGCUAAUCCCAAAAAGCCGGUCUCAGUUCGGAUUGGGGUCUGCAACUCGACCCCAUGAAGUCGGAGUCGCUAGUAAUCGCAGAUCAGCAACGCUGCGGUGAAUACGUUCCCGGGCCUUGUACACACCGCCCGUCAAGUCACGAAAGUUGGUAACACCCGAAGCCGGUGGCCUAA
rnacentral:rRNA from 1 species